rnacentral:lncRNA from 1 species
AAAGGAGGAAGAUAACAAAGACCUAAUCUAGAUGCAGACUUUGGACCGAGAGGCACCAAUGUUGCUAAUUAUAUUUGCAGAUGGUUAACAUGUCAAUUCUAUGUUGGCAAAUUUGGGUUUCAGGCAACACCACUAGUUAACAUGUCAAUUCUAUGUCAUUCCAAGAUUUAUUAAUUUAUAAUAUCAAUAAAUUGUAUAAACGGAAAGGUUUGUAAUCUUAGCAGACAAGUCCUUUGGUGAUAACCCAUCGAGUUGUGCUUGAAUUAAUCAUGUCAGCAAUGGCAUCGUCCUGUUUGACCUUAAUUAGGAUAAAACCUGUAUAGCUUAUGUAAGGCCAUAGUAUUUUUUAAUAAUAUUUUGGUGAUUGAUUUAUCUAUUUAUUCUAUUUUUUUAUGAUAAUAUUGCCAAGACUAUUUUCUUUCUUUCUAUAUUUAUUUAUGUGGUAGUUUAAUUUCCAUGACUUUAUAAUUGCUUUAUGUUAAUUAGAUUAGAAUAAAUUUGGUGCUAAAUUAAGUGUAAAAUUAUUUAUGUGAUUAAUCAAUUUUGUGAUAUGUGAAUUAUUAAAAUUUUGUCCCUUGGCUUCCAAUCUUUUAUUUCGAGCCUAUAAAUUUUCUUUUUAAAUAAUUUAUUGCAAUUGCUCUAGUAUGUAGAAACUUUUCGAACAAAAUUCUUAUAAAACUCAAAUCCUUUUUAAAUAUCCAGUUGAUAUUGAAUCCUUUAUUUCAAAUUAUUAUUUACUAAACUCUUUCUUCUAAAAUUCUUUUAAAAAUUCUCUUCAAAAAUAAAAGUCUUGCAAAAAUCCUAUUUCCAAUAAAACUUCUAGAUUAGAUUAUUCAGUUACAAGAUUGCCCUUGAUUUCUAAAUUGUUUUAAUUCCUAACAGGGGCAAUAUAGUCUUUUAAUAAUUAAAGAAGUGGUAACAGGGGUAAAACUCCGGAUUCUUCUUCAAUUCAUCCGUCUACCUCUCCUCUCUCCCUCGUGUACUCUCCCCCUUCUUCUGCAAUAUCAGCCGAUCUCCAUUGCUUCCACCAAUUUUCCUUGCCGUUUUCAGUGUUUAGUAGCUGUAAUAUUCUACCUGAUUACUCCCUUUCCUUAAUUGUAUGGAAACCCUUUGAUAUAUGCAUGUAUGUGUUGGCUGUGAUUAGGGUUUCGGCCCAAGAGGUGGCUUUGUUGUGCGAUUGUAUGAGAAAGGAGGCUGCGAGCCUCACCUGGGUCGAGAGCUCGUGAAAACGAAUCUCCCCAAGUGAAGGCUGGUCAUGGCGAUGAACUGCAGUGAGUCAUGGCCGGGGUUUUGUGAUAUUUUGAUUGUUGGGUUGAUUUUGAGGCUUGAUUUAUGAUUGAUUGUUGUUGCGUGUCAGUUUUUAGUAUAGAGUUAGUGAUUACAAGUAUUAAUUAGUUUUGGGUAAAACUGAAUCAUGAGUUUCUUUGUUGUUUUCGGUCGAAUCUCUACUUGAACCACUUUGAUUUAUGAUCCUUGCUAGCUGCAUGAGGUUCUUGGUGACAGAUUCUAUGUGUUCAAGGGCUCCCGUGUAGAGAAUUGAGAUAUUGGAAGUUGCAUAUUAGUUCUUAGGCCUUAAUAGUCAAUUUUUGGUGAUGUUUAAGAGUCAAUUUGUGGUACCAUGCUGCUAGGACAAACCUGCCCUGUUUUGAUAUGCUUAAGAAUGGUGUGAAAUUGUUGUUGGUUAGUGUGUAAAUUACUGAUUUUGUAAGUGCCUUGAAGUGUAGUUUAAGUGGGAAAAAUAAAUUUGAGAUUUCGUUUAGUAAAACUAAAGUUAUAUGAUUUUAUUGUAUGAACUAGUUUAAAAUUCUGGAAGCUGAAUUUUUUUUCUCUGUUUUGGAUACUAAUUAAGCAUGUUGAGAGUAGUUGUAAAAUAUCAAAACCUCUGUAACUAGAUGCUAUGUAGAGACUUCUGUGAUUACCAAGAAAAAUUACUUGAUUUGGAUAUGUAUAAUUAAAGUUAUGAAUUUUGUAAGCUAAUAGUGUCAACCUCCCUUCUAUAGUUGCAAUUCUGUUGUGUACUUCAUUUUCAAAAAUGCAUAACUUAAUAACCACAUGUCCAAAUCUGCUUUUGUUGUUUUUAUAAUGUGGUUAUGUGAUUAGUCUUUGGUUUGUAUUCUUUGAAUAUCAUGAUUUGAGGUCGUUUUGUAUUUUAUAAAAAUUGGAUUAGCUAGAUAUGUCAAAACUGUCCAAGUCUGCCCUGUUUUGCUAAAUGAGACAUUGUGCAAGUUCUAUAAAUGAUAAAAUGAUAGAAUCUUUUUGGAUUGACUAGAUAAUUCCAAUUAUGAUAUUUUCUGUUCAUAUUGCUUAGAGAAAAGACUUGAUAUAUCAUGCUAUAAACUGAAGUAAUUGAGAUACUUGCUGCUGAAUGGUGUUAAAUAGUUGACUUAAACUUUAAAUUCCCGUUUCGUUACUUGAUCAAUUUUUUCAUACCUUAUAUGGUUAGAAAUCUCUUUAAAUAUCCUAUCUUUCUUGAUUGAUGUUCAUUUGAUAUUGAGAUAGCCUAAUGGUAGUAAAUUGCUAAUCUUUCAGUGGCUGUCGAGCAGUUUAUGUGACUGAGAAACAACUGUAAAUUAGACAAUAAUUUUAUGUGUUAGAUGUAUGAUACAUGUAUAUAUGCAUAUGUGAGAUUCUUGUUUAUAUGUUAUGUGUAAAUAAUAUAUUAUGUGGUUGUUGUAUAUUAUAUAUACAUUAUUUAUUUAGUUAUUAUUUCCUUGUUUCAUUUAAUUCUUAUUUGCUUAUAUAAUAUUAUAUACUAUUAUCUUAAUAUUUAUAUAGAGUGUAAAGUAUGAUUGUUUUUUUUAAUCGCGAAUGGGUAGAGAUGAAAUCGAAUAGUGACACGUUUUUUAUUACUAUUUAUAGGUCCGAGUAGGCGAGCAGGAAAAAAGCCAAUCGCGGACCAACCCUAAACCGUAAGCGUAGCACGUUUCUUAAGGCAAGUAUAUUAUCCAACUAACUUGAUUAAAGAUUUUGAUGUCAUGAUUUGAUACUUGAUUUUUAGAAUAUUACAAUUUUGUUUAUCAUUGAAAUCAAAGUUUAAAACUCUACUAGUUGCCAAGUAUUCUAGAUUGUUAUAAACGAAGAACUUGUAUAACCUUUGAUUCUUUAACCUAUCAUAUUUCUCCCCUACAAAGUUGAUUCUCUAGAACCCUGUUAUAAGCUUACAAUAACACUAAGAACUGAUACCUUGAAUUCUUCAAUGUUAACAAACCAGAAGUAUUCUUCACCUAAUAGGCCACUUCACUUGGUUGUCAUAUGAACCUAAAUAAGAACCUAAACCAUUUAUGCUUACAAUAUUAUAAACUAUGCAUUAUUUUAAAAGAAAAUAUACAUAUAUUUAUUAUAAAUAUACAUAUUUAUAAUUAAAUAUUAAUAUUUAAUUGUAAAAUUAUAUUUAUUUCGUGUACAUGGUGUCGUGUCGUGUACCCAAAGGAUAAACACAAAACCAACACGACAUCUAAGUUGUGUACUUCGUGUUCCGUGUACUUUCCGUAUCGUGUACUCAAAAUGCAAACACAAACACUAAAUUUUUGUGUCGUUUUCGUGUCGUAUGAAAAAUUGUCGAGUCUACCAAUGGUACCCAUGGGCACACUCUAGAAAAAUUAUUGUAAUAAAAAUGUUUUUAGAAGCUAGGAUUUGUAAGUGUAAGUAGUAGUAAAACCGUUGUAAUAAAAAUGUUUUUAGAAGCUAGGGUUUGUAAGCGCAAGUAGUAGAAAUUGUAGCCAACCAAUGGGUUUGGAUUUAUAGCAUCCUUAGAUGUUUUAUGAAUAAAGAUAUAUCUUGAAAAAUAUUGUGUGUCGGUUUAUUAUUUAAUAUAUUCUGAGGAAUCUUAACGAUAAAUAUCCGGAACACAAAAUCUAUUACGAGCAGGACUGUAAUUUAUUUAUCCGCAAGAUUCGAAAGAAUUUUAAAUUGUAGUGAGUGCCGUAUUCAACCCUCUUGUACGAUACUUCGGGACCUAACAAUGCAUGAUGAAUUGGCGGCACAAAAAGUCACUGUCUAAUGUUGAAGUUAUCUAAUUGACACUCUGGAUUAAGGCAAUAAAAUAUAUAUAUCUAUUAUUUCAUUUAUUUAUUUAUUUUCAUAUUGUUUAAUAAUAUACAUAUAUGAAAUUUUUAUCUUAUUCAAUCACAUCUAUCUCAUUAUCUCCAUCAUCCUCUAGAUAAUGGCCUGUUAAUUUCGACUACCAAUUUUUUUAUGGUUUAAUAAAUUCGACCGCCUCGAAAAACGGUAUGUUUAUUUCGACCAAAAUUCAAAUUCAAAGGUUUAAUAACUUCGACCGUUAUCGGUCGAAAAUAUUAUAUAUGGCGGGAAACUCAUUUUUCAGUUUUUUUUUAAGAACUUGAGCGGGAAGUUCAAAUUUUCAUUGAAAACAAAUUUUGGGCUGAAAAGGACGGUCGAAAAUAGCGGUCGAAUUUAAAUAUAUUCCACCGGAAAUUAUUCACGACUAGCUUAAAUUCGACCGGUACUUUCCUGGUCGAAAAUGACUAUUUUCGACCGUAUACGGUCGAAAUAACGCAUUUUCGACCAGAAUUAGACGGUCGAAAAUGAUUUCUUUUCUUGUAGUGUAGGAAUAACUUCACCAAAACUUCUGUCAUUUGCUUGUUUAGUGUAAGUUUAAAGGUUGGGCUACAUUUUGAUGCUUAAGUGAGAAUUUUUAAGGCUAUUUUUUGUGGUUAAGUCAAUUUUCUUAUUUUUUCAGUUUAUAGGAGUUCCAUCUGUCCCAUUAUAAUGAAUUUUGGACAACAUAUUUCUUAAUCCGCUAGUAUCUAAAUGUUUAAAGGUGGAGAUAGAAUUUGUAAGUCUAGAUUGUCUAAUUAUAGAGUUUAUGGCAUAGAUAUUUGUAUCACAGUGAGGGUUAAACUUUACGUGGUGAAAUGACGUGUCUUUUUUUGCCCAAAAUACAUUUUUGGUUGAUUCUUAAAUUAAAGUCAAGGUUACUAGGAUAAGUCAGCCGUAAUUCUAGAUAUCAUGGUUGUCAUCCCACCUAAAAAUGACUGAAUGAUGAAGAAGGUGGCUAUAAAGCAAUCGACGUCUUUAUAUAUAUAAUGUGUAUCUGAAUACUAUCUCUAUCAUUAUCAUUAGUGACUCUCUCUUUAAAAAGUGUUGUAACACAAGAACUUUUGUUUGUAUAUAUAUUGAAGGUAUUUUUGGAUAUAGUUGUGAAUAAUUAACAUGGUUGGUAGCCGAUGAACUAUUACAUAAAAUAAGAAUAUAUAAUAUUAAAUAGAUAUAUGUUUUUGUUUAAUCAAAACUCUACAUAAUGGAAGGUUUGGAGUAUUAUUUUUGUUCAUAUCAAUAUUUGUGAAAUAUAUAAUAACACCAUCAAGCUAAUAUCUUAAUAAUUAUAAUUUAAUAUAGUUUUUCCUAUGACCAAAUGAUAUAAAUUUUCAAAAAUAAAUCAAAAGAUUAUAUUUAAAUGAAUCAUUUAUUAGAUCUUAAACCAUGACACGGUAUAGAGUUACCCCAUACAAGAUUAAGAGCUCGUUAAAGUUCUUAUUGGGCUGCUACCAAGAAGGCCUUUCUGACCAAAACCCUAAUCUUUCGUAUAUGAUCAAUGUCAGAGGGUUGACCACACACCCACCCCUUGUAUUUGAUAAGUCUAGUUCUCUCACUAGAAGUGUAUAAUAUCAUCAUCAAAUUCUUUCUAUCACCUCUUAGAUUACAAAUUACAAUAGUAGUCAGCAGUUUUGCAAUAAGAUCCUUUCAAGUGAUAUGAUUUCCGAUCAGUGUAAGCAUUCAUUUUUUGUUUAGACAAAUAAUGGUAUAGAUCUUCAUAUAUGAUAUAUGUAAAUAUCCUGUAUAAUCAUGUUGACAUAAUUUAAUUUCAUCCUUGCACUUAUUGAGGUAUAAAUCAAUAUAUUUAUAAUUUGUUUUCCUAAAUUUCUUUUGGAAUUAAAUAAUUUUUGAACAAUUCUUAUUAUGAUGCUAAUAAUUGAGAUUUUCCUUUCAGAUUUUGGGUAUAAUAUUGAUCUUGAUGUCCUUGAGUUGUUUCUGGAUCUAUAUCUCAAAGACUCAAACAAUGAAGAAGAUGCUCCAAGUUGGCACUAUAGCUUCUCUGGUUAGUCAUGAUUUGACAUCUUUAAUAAUAUGAAUAAGAGAUUUUUUUUUAUUCGGUAAUGUGUUUUGUAUAAUCUAUAUAUGGUUGUGAUAAUAAUUGAUGUUUGCAUUUGGUGUUUUGAUAAGAAAUAUAUAUGCUACAAAUUUGAGAAGAAGUAUGCCGUGCAAGGGAGUACAAGUGCAAUUGUGGAUCUACCUUCUCUAGGUUAGGAUUAUACCACAAAUCUCUCUUUAAUUUAUAGUUUUAAUUCUUACCUUCUCAUUCCCUUCCCAUAAAUGUUAUUUUAUUUAAUUUUGUCUUGUUUAUGAUUUAUUGAACUCAAAGGUUUGUAUUGGGCAGAGGAAUUGAUUUACCGGGGUCCUUCUGUAGAAUUAUUUUUUGUUUGUGUUUAUAUAUAGAUUAAAGAUAAUAUAAAGCAUUAAAUAUAAAAAUCCAAAUUAAUUCAACGUCUUUGCAUUCUCACCUUAGAAAAACGCAGCAAACCAUACAAUGUGUAUAGGUUUGCUCUAUAUCUCAUGUGUUGUUUUGCUACAUGUAGGGAUUUACUGGUUUUAUAUAAUGUAGUGAAAUUUUGUCCAUACCUUUACUUUUGGUUUGUAUAUUAGAAAAUAAAUUCAAUUGCUAAUAUAUAUGAUUCAUAUUUAUAUUAGUUGGUAUAUGCAUGCAUUGGUCACGUUUGGAUGAAUCAAAGUGUAGCUAACUCCUUUUGCAGGCGUGAUAGUUUAAUCAAUCACCAUUCAAUAUGCCAAGUGUUUGUGAGAGAGGUGGCUAGGCACACAACAAAUUGGCCCCAGCAGCAGCAUGACUGCUGGAAUACAUGCAAAUGUCAGUAAUAUGCCUCUUCGUCCAAUUUGGGAGCCAAAACUUAAUAUUCCUUGAUCCUCUGAAUAUUCGGAGAUUCGUGGCUUUCCUAGCAACAUAGCACCAAGCAACAUGUUUGAUUUUGGUUUUGAUGGUAGUGCAAAACCAAAAACAAGUUGGAAUUUGAAUAUUAAAGGAGGAAGAUAACAAAGACCUAAUCUAGAUGCAGACUUUGGACCGAGAGGCACCAAUGUUGCUAAUUAUAUUUGCAGAUGGUUAACAUGUCAAUUUUUUGUUGGCAAAUUUGGGUUUGUGGCAACACCACUAGUUAACAUGUCAAUUCUAUGUCAUUCCAAAAUUUAUUAAUUUAUGAUUCAAUAAAUUGUAUAAACGGAAAGGUUUGUAAUCUUAGCAGAGAAGUCCUUUGGUGAUAACCGAGUUGUGCUUCAAUUAAUCAUGUCAGCAAUGGCAUCGUCGUGUUUCGGGUUGUGUCAGAUGUACCUGACCUUAAUUAAGAUAAAACCUGUAUAGCUUAU